rnacentral:tRNA from 1 species
UCCCAGGUAGCUUAAUAGUAAAGCACCCAACCGGCAAUUGGGGGAUCUGGGUUCCCGGUCUAGGCU